rnacentral:rRNA from 1 species
AGUCACUGACAUUAGAUACCCGUGUAGUCCUAGCCGUAAACGAUACUCGCUAGGUGUCGGCCACGGUGCGACCGUUGUCGGUGCCGUAGGGAAGCCGUGAAGCGAGCCACCUGGGAAGUACGGCCGCAAGGCUGAAACUUAAAGGAAUUGGCGGGGGAGCACAACAACGGGUGGAGCUUGCGGUUUAAUUGGAUUCAACGCCGGAAAUCUUACCGGGACCGACAGCAACAUGAAGGCCAAGCUGAAGACUUUGCCGGAUUAGCUG